GGAUGCGAUCAUAGCAGCACUAAAGCAGCGGAUCCCAUCAGAACUCCGAAGUUAAGCGUUCUUGGGCGAGAAGAGUACUAGGAUGGGUGACCUCCUGGGAAGUCCUCGUGUUGCAUUCC
rnacentral:rRNA from 1 species